UGGGAGGUAAAUUUCUCCUAAGGCUAAAUACAGGCGAGAGACCGAUAGCGAACAAGUACCGUGAGGGAAAGAUGAAAAGAACUUUGAAAAGAGAGUUAAACAGUACGUGAAAUUGUUGAAAGGGAAACGAUUGAAGCCAGUCGUACCGACGGGAAAUCAACUUCUGGAGCGCUUGUCGUGGGUAACUUUGAGCUUCGCGGCCUUUGUUACUUUGCGUUAUGGUGCUUUUGGUGUGUACUUUUCCGUAUGGUAGGUCAAUAUCGAUUUUGAUCGUCAUAAAAUGAUCGGAGGAAUGUGGCUUCGAUCUCGUAUCGGAGUGUUAUAGCCUUUGGUAGAUGUGACGAUUGGGAUCGAGGAUUGCAACGAAUACCCUUUGGGCUAUCCGUCUGACCUCUGAAAGUCGCUCGAGUGUCGAAAGCUUUGCUUAUGGCAUUUUAGUUGGCGGUCAAAAGGUUAGAACGCGAUUACAUACGUUAAGGAUGUUGACGUAAUGGCUUUAAACGACCCGUCUUGAAACACGGACCAAGGAGUCUAACAUAUAUGCGAGUGUUCGGGUGAUCAAACCCUUACGCGUAAUGAAAGUAAUUCAGGUGGGAUCGCGCUCGUCGCGUGCACCAUCGACC
rnacentral:rRNA from 1 species